rnacentral:lncRNA from 1 species
ACUUCGGUACCAGCUCUGUGGACAGCGCAGGCUUACGAGAUUACGAUGUCACGUCUCUGCAGUGUCCGAGUUGUGUUUCUUGCUGCCGCUAUUAUUGUGAUAACGGAGAGUCUGCGAGCGUCUCCACCUAAGCCGCCAUCGACAGGUUCAGUGAACUGCGGAGAAUACAAUUGCACCGAAUAUGCAAACCAUACCACGGAAGGUUGCCCAGAUGAUUGCAGAUGUUCCGGGCUUGACCGUACAACUGAUUUCCCCAAAAAUGGUUUCUGCGUGCAACAUGAUGGAGGCUACAGACUGCCAGACUCAGGUUCUGGCUGAUCCAGUCCAUCAGUGCACGGUGGAAGAGGACACUACUAGUUUUUGUUAUUUAAAGAUGAAAUAAACAAAAAAAAAAGAUUUCGCGCUUUGAUAAUUCAAAUUUCUAAAUUACUUGCACAUUCCUGCCCGUGCCUUAGUUCUGUUGAUAGAGCGUCGGGGAUCUGCAUUGUGUCAUGUAAAUGUCACGAAAAAUUACAUAGGGGCUGAAUAAAUUACUGUUUCGCCGUUCUUAGA